UACGUAGGGUGCAAGCGUUGUCCGGAAUUAUUGGGCGUAAAGAGCUCGUAGGCGGUUUGUCGCGUCGGCUGUGAAAACUCGGGGCUCAACCCCGAGCCUGCAGUCGAUACGGGCAGACUAGAGUGCUGUAGGGGAGACUGGAAUUCCUGGUGUAGCGGUGAAAUGCGCAGAUAUCAGGAGGAACACCAAUGGCGAAGGCAGCUCGCUGGGACGGUACUGACGCUGAGGCGCGAAAGCGUGGGGAGCAAACAGGG
rnacentral:rRNA from 1 species